rnacentral:rRNA from 1 species
UCGUUUAAAGCCAUUACGUCAGCAUCCUUAACGAGUUACGACACUAAAUCCCGUUUCCAGAAUCGGGCUCGGCACCAGCAUGCUGUUACCAAGACGACCACAAAGAACCCGAAACUUACCUCGCAAGACACUCGCUGCAAUCCUCAGUCUCGCAAAUCGCAUUGACCGCUAGCUAUACACUCCGAAAGGAGUCACAUUCUGACGGACUUUUUACGACUUGCGAAACUGACGCUAACUGUCUGCGAGAAAGUGCACCUCCAGAGAAAUCCGGAAGCUGAUUUCCCACCGGCAUGACGGCUUCAAUCGUUUCC